rnacentral:rRNA from 1 species
UACGGAGGGGGCUAGCGUUGUUCGGAAUUACUGGGCGUGAAGCGCACGUAGGCGGCUUUGCAAGUUAGAGGUGAAAGCCCGGGGCUCAACUCCGGAAUUGCCUUUAAAACUGCAUCGCUAGAAUUGUGGAGAGGUAAGUGGAAUUCCGAGUGUAGAGGUGAAAUUCGUAGAUAUUCGGAAGAACACCAGUGGCGAAGGCGACUUACUGGACACAUAUUGACGCUGAGGUGCGAAAGCGUGGGGAGCAAACAGG